UUGCUUCGUCAGCAAAUAUACUAAAAUUGGAACAAUACAUAGAAAAUUAGCCUGGCCCCUGCGCAAGGAGAACACACAAAUUUGUGAAGCGUUCCACAUUUUU